AAGUAUUUUAGAAACAGCAACUUCUAAAAUUCCAUUUCCAGUGCAUGUUUGGGCUGCAGACUGACUGUUCCCAAUCACUGUUAGUGAUUAAAUUUGAUAGGAGUGGAAAUGGAGAAGUCCAGAACAAGCUGUGUACAAAACAGCAUGAGUGGAUACUCAGAUUUCUUGGGGAAGGGCUGCGUGACAAACAUUGCUGUGAGCUUUGUGACUAGCAGAGGAUUUUCCAGGUCAUUCUUUCAUUUUUCAACAGUCCUUUGUGUGACGAGGGCUCCCAGAGUCGUAUUCUGGAGAUAUUACAAAGUGCUGCCCGUGUCACCAGAGCUACCUAUGAGCUGAUGGAGGAUCACAGCCUCCUCAUGGGGGUCCUGCACAGCUUAGAGCAAAGCUGUUUCUGUAUUCCUGACUUCCAUUUACAUUGGAGACAUGGGGCUUGGAGCACAGGAGCCAGAUAUGUUACCCGUGUCAGAUUGAUCUGCACUAGUGCAGAUUGAGUUACAGGAUGACUCAGACACUUGAAACAAGGGGAAGAAACCAUUCCAUCUCUUUGCAAAAACACUUGGCUCCAUCAGGGCAUUAAUUCAGGGGACUAACACUUAACCUUUAACAUUCUGCUCUGCUCUGUCCUCAUCGCCGUGAGCCAUGAGAGCCUCCUGAGCUGUUCUCAUAUAGACCUACCUUGUUUGGUCAAAAAUAAUCAGUAUUUUAUUACUGGGUGCAAACUCAGGGGGAAGAUUUGAUUCAACAUCUCACAGUGGCACAUUAACGCUCCAAUUUCCCUUUUCUUGAACAGUUUGAGAGACAAUAUUACUUAUGUAAUUUUUAUUUACAGGCAUUUUUAUCAUUUUGAAGAACCAAAAAGACUGUUUGUGCAUGUGUGUGUGCUUAAUAUCCACCCUCUCCCUAAUACAGAAUGGGGAAAAAAGGCUGCAGAGCUUCCUACACUGGGGUGUAAGUAGCCAGUAUGAAUAGAAGACUGGACUCGGGAAUCAGGACAGUCUUCUUGGGUUAAAAAGCUUGAAUGGCACUUCAAGACAUUUAUGUCAGACCUGGUUUAUUUUUAUUACCCAUUUUUUAAUAACAAAAAAGCCCCAAUCCAUUGUGAUGUGCGACAAAAGCCCACCUUCCCUCUGCUUGGAACAGGUUGACAGAUGGAACUAAAGCCCAGAGGAUUUUCUGCUCAGUGAUUAUACCCAGAUUUCUCUGGGAAAUCUGGUACAUUGUUCUGAAAUGUGGCCAUGAGAGUAGUUGAGCAUGCCAGUGCAGAUCUGCAAACAUGCAGUGCCUGAGCAAACUGAAUGCAUUUGGCUGAACUGAGAUGAGCUCAGCUGAACCGACCCGUCCUCAGCCCAACCAAACUGUGUUUAGCCAAACCCAGCCGAACCUAG
rnacentral:lncRNA from 1 species